CUCAAAAUAAAUAAACAUUUAAAAAAACUAAGUAGGUAAUACUCUUUCCACUACAAUGUCUCAUAAUGCUGAGAUUAAAAAAAAUUAUUUAAGAGUCUAAUGAAAUUAUAAACUUCGUGUUUGAAAAUAUAUAUCACACCAAGAUGCAUAGUAGAUAUUUAAGAAUCCACUAUAAACAUAUAUCAUCAACUUGAUUUACGCUGUUUUAAAAACUCAUGACAUUCACAAUUCAAAGUAUUCUUAUUCUUGCUAAGGAGAGAGAAUUAGGCAAAACGUGAGUUGUACCUUAUCAGAAAUUUGUAUAUAAAAAGGUGAAUAUACUAUGCCUUGGUUAUGGUAAUGAGAGCAACUACCAGUUUCGGACAUUUACUAUGGACUUGGCACAGUGAUAUCUCGUAUCUUUUCAACAGCCCUGUGAAACGGAUGUUCAUUUUGCCGAGGAGAAAAGUGAAGCUUGGCAAAUUUAGUACGUUAUCCAAAGUGAAACAGAUAGUAAAUGGUGGAGUAUUUUAACUCAGUGUAUUCAUUCAAAAGGCUGUGUUCUUCACCAUUACGUUAUACUGUCUAAAGUCCCAACUGACCUAACAUAUAUGUCACAGUGAUUAAAUAUACAGAUGACUAUUAGGCAUUGUUCAAAACCCAUGAUAGAGUCCUUAAAAAAAUAAGACUGACGAUAUACCGUACUGGGUGCCAGCACUUUCUGGACUUCACUUUUGACCUAUCAGGCUUAGUUAAAUUUUCACAGCUGUUUAAUUUAGUGGUGAUGGUCUACAUUUAGUGGGAAUACCAUAAGGGUAAUGUUAACUGUACUUGCAAUUAUUCCCCACCAUACUACCUACGAGUUAGUACAUGAUUAUCAUUUCCAGCUUCUGAAGGAAACAAACUUUAAAAGGAAUAUAUCAUCCUGCCCUCCUUCAUUAUAAGUACUAUUUUUAAAACCAUAAGUUAUAUGACUGAUAGGAAGAUUCUGCUUCUGCCUUGAAGAAACAGAUAUUCUCCAGUUUCCAACUGCAACAAGCAAUUCUAAUUUAAAAGGUAAACACAGGAUACUAUGUUCAGAAAUGGGCCUCCCUGAAUUUGAUUCUCUGAUACAUUCAACUAUGUUGAGAGGUCACUUGUUUCUGGCUAUUGUCAUUUUGGCAGUGGGAGGAGUUGGGGGAGCAUGGUCAGCAGAGUCAAAGAAUGUGCAACUCGUCUUUCACAUGUGUGUUAAAGCAACACAGUUAAAGCUCAUUUCCAAAAAAAGGAAAAGAAGGCAAUCAAACUGAGAAAUUGUCGAUUGACUUAACCAGGCCUCCGUGACUCAAAGAAAGCCACCAGAGACAACUUCUUUCAUUCCUACUCAAUAUGCUAGAAUCUGCUAUGAAAGACUUAGGUUGCACAUCACCUCUGGGGAAUUGUAAGAUCUUUAAAAAACUUUCCAGUUUUUGCAGAAUUUACUUAAUUUUUCUCCACUAAGUAUUUAAGUGAAAACCAUAAGCAAAAAGAAUACAUUGACAACUUAUUGUUCUGAAGGUCAUAAACCACCUUUUAUUACUUUUUAAACAAUGGUGUAUUACAUUUCAAAGUUCAAAGAAUCAGGAUUAUACUAAGAGUCAUAUCAGGUCAAGAUGACGGUAGGUUUGUUUCUAAAUUACAAGUCCAUAUCUUAUACCAACCUCUUGCCAGUCUCUAUAAUGUAUUGUUUUAUGUUACUGCCAUACAGUGAUAGUUUUUGUAAACUAAGACCUACUUCACUUACUUUUAAAGACAAAUGUUUGCUCAGUGUCUACAAAUGUGUGCUAACUGUAGUCCUUCAGACAUUCAUUAGUGUUCAGGAUUUGCACUUAAGGAGGACAAUGGCAUUGUAAACGAAAAUGACCAGUAGCCAAAGGGAACAUAUAAUUGUUUGUAAUUAAACAAAAGUGUUGCUGAGUUAAUCAAAUUCACAUCUUAAUAUACUUCAAAGCAUUGCUGUCUUGUCAAAAUGAAGACUUCAGUUUUCUGUCUCUUUGGAAUUUUUUUUAAUUGGUAAUGAAAACUAAGCAAAUUAUACCACUGAGAUUUUUUUUUAACCCACUGAAGUACAAUAAAUAAGCCAAGUAUGUUUUGAUCAAAGUUUUCACAGGAAUCUCCUCUUAACUUUUUCACCAGUUUCAUAAUUAACAGUUUGUACAGGCAUUAGCCUAUUUAUAGCUUUUGCUCUGCAAUGCCCUGUGCUCUUGAUCUCAUCUUUUUGAGUUACAACACAAACACUGAAACAUUAUGUCCUUCCCUUGGUAACUGAAUCGUUCAUUUGAAACACCCUGGACUGGAGAGCAUUCUUUUGGGGGAAAGAGUUUUCACUGUCAUUUUUAUUUGAAUUUUUCAUUUGCUUAAAGGUGAGUCCAAAUUAAACGAAAGAACUUGAGGUGUUGACUGUCUUACUAAAAUAAAGGAACAGGCACGAUUUCGCAGGCAAAUCCUAUUUCUGGAACCUGUGGGACAUUAUCCAGUUUCAGUGGAGUGCCUUCGUAGCUUUCCUAAACCUAAAGGACUUAUCAGCAACAUGGAGACAAUGUUGUCCUGCAUUCUUCAGUUCCAGAAGCUGGCAGAAGAAAGGCCCUAUGAGCGGUGAGCCCGCUCUUUAGCGCGCACUGGGGAGGAGGCUCCACCUGCUGCCGGCCCACCAAUACUUCCAGCUGACUGCUUUGCAGAACAGCAAAGCAUCCCAGCUAGCUUCUGUACGGGCCCACCUGAAGCACUCCUGAGAGAUUUCAUUCGAGCUACUCCAGCCUGUCCCGUGUGAAUAAGCACAGGUCCCCCACUCAGCUGGUCUCUACUCCAAGGAUCGCGUUUCAAAAUCUGUCGACAGGAAUCAAGGUAUUUUCUUUUUCCCUGAAUCACUGGUCAGUUCUACUCUACUCCAGUUCUUCUCUAUUAAGUGAGGACUGUGCUACCAGCCUGUGGACUCACCAUUUACAGAUCUUUUUUUUUUUUUUUUUUUUCCACCGAGAUUUUGCAUGGUCAUGUAAUUGAUGGCAAUUAUAAUUUCCCCUUUAAGGUCUGUCUCCACAUCCACAUUGUAAGCUCCUGUAAGCCAGUCUGUCUCGUAUAUCACCGUAUUCCGAGUGCCCAGCACAGUACCUUGAGCCCUUCAGGACACAAAAUGCGUUAAUAAUCUUAGGUGGGCGAGAGAGGAGCAAAGAAAUAAUACUAAUGGAUCCCUAAGUAAAAUCCAAUAGUAAAAAGACUGAGAGAGGGAAAGCUACAUGGAGAUGUACUGGAAAGAGGAGCUCCAAUGUUUUUAGGAAGAGAUCAGUGGUAGAGAAAACUCUGGCUGUGGGUGACUCAGAUCAGGCCCCUUGUCUCUUAACCGUAGAGAAUACGACUCCGAAUAUGUGAAUAUUGAGGACUGAGUAGUUGGAAGACGUUAAAACUGGUUUCGACAUUAAAAAAGAUUAGCAAAGAAGAUGAAAACUAUAAAAAUAUAUAAAACUUAAGUUGUUUCUUUUCUCUUUUCCAUCUAAAUGAGUAACCAUUAAUGCCUGAAAAGCAGCAACAAACCCGGUAUCAUGUCAUUGUAUGUUCGUUAAUUUCGAAGUGCUCUUUUUUUGUAUGCAAAACACAAUUCGAUAUAGUCUGUUGCCCAUGUUGCAUAAUUACCUAAUCCUACCUAGGGGGAAAAGUAAAACUAGACAGAAAAACUAAAGAGGAAGUUAAGGAUAAAUCAGAAUCCACGAUUCCCAAUUACAACUGAAAACUAUUUGAAUAUAACUCAAUAUUAUUUAUUGAUCUAUAUACUAUGGGGGCGAUUUCUCAAACUACAUACUAUUUGGUAAAAGUCUGCCAGGAGUCAAUCUGUAAGUCUGUGGCAGUUCUGUUCUCUACCAGCCUCACAAAGAAAGGGUCCAGGGUGCUUAGAGUUCCCUGAAUGAAAGGCACUGUACAAGUAGAGAGUGGUGCAUGUAUUAUUAACCUUCCUGCGCUUGUUUCCUCAUCUGUAAUAUGGGGUUAAUGACAUUUCUGUACCUCACAAGAAUGUUGUGCGAAUUAAUGUUUGUAAAGCCCUUUAAGAUCCACGGAUGAAAGAUGCCAUAAAAGUCCAAAGGUGGUAAUAUUAUAGUUAUUGAAACUGGAAACACCAAUAAUGCUGGGAACUGAAUAUAUAUUUGGUUGCAAGGCACCCCGUGUAUUAUGAAUUCACAGGCACUUACAGAACCUCACCGUUUCAAAAUUAAUGUUUUUAUACAUAUAUAUAUAUAUAUGAUAAAUCCCGAAGAGAUAUUACAUAUAUGUGAUAAGCCAAAUGAAUGUAAUUUGUUCAUAAGUGGCAAAAACACAGUAACGGAGUCCACGUUUCUUCUCUGUCUCUUUAUAGGAAGCACUGUAGUAGAUAGAAUACGUUGGAUCUGUACUUGAAAUUAUGUAAUGUUAGAACGGUCUGUUUAGAAGGAGGCAGUAAAUGGCAUGUUACAAAUGCUAACAUGAUUUAAUGAAAUCAUCUGUAUCUCUCAAUACUGCUAUAUUUUUCUAUACACUUUGAAUCUACUUAGUUUAUAAAUAGAAAGCAAAAAACACGUAAUAGCAAUCUUUUUGAAAAUGAAAAAGACAAAUUACCAUUUGUCACCUGUUUGUCUGAACUAAUUCUAAUGUGGGCUUUAAGAAUUUUUCUAAAUGUUUAAAAAGGCAUUUUAGGGGCGCCUGGGUGGCUCAGUCGGUUAGGCGUCUGACUUCGGCUCAGGUCAUGAUCUCGUGGUCCAUGAGUUCG